rnacentral:lncRNA from 1 species
CAGUGUUUUGGGAAUAUUAGCAUUUGUCUAGCAGAGAGGCACCCAGUCUCUUUCCAGGCAGCAUUUCUAGAAUUUUGAGUUAUGUGAGGGUGGGAUGGGGAUCUGAAAAUCAUGAAUUUAGAGAGAUUCCAGCAUGUGGAAGACAACAUGAGUCAAGAGUUCUCAUAAUUUUUAAUUAGGCACCAAAACUCCAUUUGUAUCUUGUUUUAAGGGCCUAUGUCCUUUUCAGACUAUGAAGUCAUUAAAAAGUACUUAUGUUUUCAUCUUUAACAAAUAUGAUUUCAAACCCUGACCCUGAAAUUAUUUUAAUGGAUCUCUUAAACCUAAUCUAGAUUUGGAAAUUCCUCCUUGAGUUAUGCCUUCUUCACUCUUCUCUAAUUAGCAGUGCAGUCAGGCUAUUGAUGAAAAGCAGGUUGUUUCUUCAUGUGAAGACCAUCUUCCAGCACAUCACUACUCCUACCCCAGAUGGCAACUCCUUGUCAGCCUGAGCUGCAAUUUGGACUUUUCUGUGAGUUGGGAGAGACAGCCACAUCCCUGCUCUGAGCUACAGCAAAGGGCCAUGUGUGCACCAGGACUCUGUAACUCAUUUAAACUCUUAUGAGGAAAAGAAAGAAAAAACCCUGAAGCUCUAGAGACUUAGUACAUUGCUACAAGUUUGUAGGAGGUUUGCAAUCGAGCAGCUAUGAACAGCACUGCCUUGGUGUUUGCCACCUCGCAACACUGGUGAGACAGAAAAGCACAGAAGCAUUUGAGAGAAGUUUUUAAAGUUCUGGUGAAGACAGAUCAUUCCACCCCCCGGAUAAGAACUGCCACAAACACACAGAUGCAGCUCUGAGGAAUUUCUCCCAUUAUGGUAAGUUAGGGUAUUUUGUGCAACUUAUUGCAACACAUAUUUUUCCUUAUUUUAGAAUUACCAUUAUU